UACGUAGGGGGGCAAGCGUUGUCCGGAAUCAUUGGGCGUAAAGAGCGUGUAGGCGGCUUGGCAAGUCUGACGUGAAAGCCCCGCGGCUCAACCGCGGAUUGUCGUUGGAAACUGCCUCGCUAGAGUCCGGAAGAGGAGAGCGGAAUUCCUGGUGUAGCGGUGGAAUGCGCAGAUAUCAGGAAGAACACCCGUGGCGAAGGCGGCUCUCUGGGACGGUACUGACGCUGAGACGCGAAAGCGUGGGAGCGAACAGG
rnacentral:rRNA from 1 species